rnacentral:rRNA from 1 species
CCUACGGGAGGCAGCAGUGGGGAAUCUUGCGCAAUGGGCGAAAGCCUGACGCAGCCAUGCCGCGUGAAUGAUGAAGGUCUUAGGAUUGUAAAAUUCUUUCACCGGGGACGAUAAUGACGGUACCCGGAGAAGAAGCCCCGGCUAACUUCGUGCCAGCAGCCGCGGUAAUACGAAGGGGGGCUAGCGUUGCUCGGAAUUACUGGGCGUAAAGGGAGCGUAGGCGGAUAGUUUAGUCAGAGGUGAAAGCCCAGGGCUCAACCUUGGAAUUGCCUUUGAUACUGGCUAUCUUGAGUGUGGGAGAGGUUAGCGGAACUCCGAGUGUAGAGGUGAAAUUCGUAGAUAUUCGGAAGAACACCAGUGGCGAAGGCGGCUAACUGGCCCAUUACUGACGCUGAGGCUCGAAAGCGUGGGGAGCAAACAGGAUUAGAUACCCUGGUAGUCCACGCCGUAAACGAUGAGUGCUAGUUGUCGGCAUGCAUGCAUGUCGGUGACGCAGCUAACGCAUUAAGCACUCCGCCUGGGGAGUACGGUCGCAAGAUUAAAACUCAAAUGAAUUGACGGCUGACUGCACGGCGACACAGGGAGUUAGG